UAGUUCAAUAGGCAAGCAGAUGGCGUAUUGAGUCCUUUGCAAGCCAAACAUAUCAUAACAGGGAUUAAUCUUCAAUGUUUGGCUGCCAUCCUUCAAAAGAAAGAAAGCCUCUAUGAAUUAGAUGACUAUGAUAACAUAAUUGAUUGCAUCUCUUGUCGUGCUGGUGAAGAAUUUGAUAGCUAUUCGGGUAAAGUUGGUGAAGCUGAUACUGAUGGAGUUGAUACAGCUUACCGCCUCCUUGCAGAUCAUAUGAGAAUGAUUUCUGUUACUAAUGCUCCUGGUUCUCAGCUUGGGCCUGGACAUGAAGGUCGUGAGUAUUUCCUUAAGUGUGCUGACAAACUGGCUGUGCAAUACUGCCACAA